GAUGAACGCUGGCGGCGUGCCUAAUACAUGCAAGUCGAGCGAACGGACGAGAAGCUUGCUUCUCUGAUGUUAGCGGCGGACGGGCGAGUAACACGUGGAUAACCUACCUAUAAGACUGGGAUAACUUCGGGAAACAGUAGCUAAUACCGGAUAAUAUUUUGAACCGCAUGGUUCAAAAGUGAAAGACGGUCUUGCUGUCACUUAUAGAUGGAUCCGCGCUGCAUUAGCUAGUUGGUAAGGUAACGGCUUACCAAGGCAACGAUGCAUAGCCGACCUGAGAGGGUGAUCGGCCACACUGGAACUGAGACACGGUCCAGACUCCUACGGGAGGCAGCAGUAGGGAAUCUUCCGCAAUGGGCGAAAGCCUGACGGAGCAACGCCGCGUGAGUGAUGAAGAUCUUCGGAUCGUAAAACUCUGUUAUUAGGGAAGAACAUAUGUGUAAGUAACUGUGCACAUCUUGACGGUACCUAAUCAGAAAGCCACGGCUAACUACGUG
rnacentral:rRNA from 1 species